AGCUAUCAUUUUUCCAACUUUUAUCUGUCUAAAUAAUUAUACUUUUUAAACGAUACCCAAAGUUUAUUUUAUCCCGGUUCUAGAUCUAUCUUUUACCUUUCCUAAACUUUUUGUUUUGUUUUUUUUAAUUUCUUUAAAAAUUGACAAAAAUACGAUAAAUUAAACAAAACUCAUUUUUACAAUUUUUAGGAAAUUAUAUUUUGUUUAAAUUAAUUUUUAAAAUAUUUAAUGUAAAUUAAUAUUAUCAUAAAUUAUACCAUCUUUGUCAUAAAAAAAACGAAGAGAUUCAUACAACACAAUAUUGAUAUCAGUCGAUCUGUUCAAUGAAAUGAGAUACAUUUAUAAUAUAACCUAAGCUGCGUUUCGUUUCACGCAUAACGCAUUGUUCAUUGGAAUCAUUAAGAGACAGUAAACAAUUAUUGAGAAACAUCGAGUCUCUUAAUGAUUCCAAUUAAACGCGGAAUACUUUCAUAUUAAUCGGAAUCAGUAUUAUCAUUGAAAGAUAGUACAUUGAUAUAGUACUAAUUGAUAAAAUUGUAAAGAUAACACUGAAAUCUGUGUAUUACUCACUAUUAUUCAAUAUAGAUAAUAUUGAUUCUGCAAUUUAAAAAUUAUCUUACGAUAAAGCAGAAUGCUCACGCCUAUCAAACUUCAACAUUCUCAAAUUAUCAAAUUAAAUAUUUUUUAUUCUUCUUGUCAGAAAAAUAUGUACGUGACGAAUUUUAUAAUUAGGUAAAGAUUAGAUAAUUCAACAACGAUAGGAUAAUAAAAUUUAAAUGGAUCGAAAACAUGCGAGAUCAUUUCCUAUGAUGAAUCGUGAUAAGUAUUAAGUAGAAUAGACAGAUAUUGUUUAUUUCAAGUCUAUCUAAUAAAGCGCCCAGUAUAAUUUGAUUUUCAUGACUAAGUCGAGCCCUGAUGACGAGUGAACACGUGAAAACGUGGGAAGGAGCGGGAUGAAUGCUAUCGUUCCGCGAUAAUGGCCGUAAUGACGACGAUAAUGCCUCGACACACGCGUCGCGGAACCGGCGGCUUGAUAUAUCGUUUAAAUCACGACCGGCGUCAUUACGUACGGAUGCUUCUCGUCGUAACAACGAUUCUGACGACAGAGAGUGCUGGAGUUAAGCGCACCCUAUGGAGAAGAUGCUCGUACGGUGUCGUUAACGGUGUCAUCUCCUUGUCGUCCACCUACGCGAACGGCUGAAUAUGAACCUCGUCCAAUAUUACUCGCAACCGCUACGGCGAGGAGACGGAAUUCAUCCUGUACCGCGGGGAUCAGCGUCGCAGUGGAUUAAACUAUGCACGGCCAUGUCGGGAAUGCGUUGAUAACAUUAUGCGCAUCUUUUUCCCUCAUGAAUGUCGCCGAGAUGCGGACGGAUGGAACAAGUGGAUUUAUAACGGAGGCGAAAGAUUCCCGCGCACCUCGACAAGACCACCGCGCACAAGACAGACGCGUAAUAUUCAUUUUGCGAGAUACGCCCCUUGUAACGCAGGGUGGAAAAUCAAGGCCCUACUGCACGAGUUGCCCUCUCCCACUGGGCUAUCCUUCGUCCUUUGUCGACUUAUUAUUCCGCAUUGUACCAAUCGCCAUAUCACGUUCUUCGCUUCUUCGGUAUCGCCCGUCGCGAGAAUCAUGUCGAAUUGGAUGAGUAUCGCGCGGGCACGAUUAAAUUCAUCCUCCAGACGAGCGAGGGAACUAUUCCGCAACAACCCCGCUUCGCAGAUUCGCAACUGCGAGAUUAAGCGAGAAGGAGUGCGACAGUGACGACGGCAACGGUAAGGAAGAAGCGUAGACUCUAGAAGAUGUCGGAGCGCGAGAUAAUGUGUGCACGGUUUAGGUUACAUAUACUAACCCGGUCGCCGAACAAGAAUACGAGCUCUUCUAGCUACUGCAGCUGCGACGUUCUAGCUACUGCAUAUUGUGCCAUAUUGUGUAUACGUUAGCUCGUGCAUAAAAGAAAGUGUUCUUGGUAGAAAAAGAUGAUUAAGAGGAGAAAACAUGAGCACAACGUCCUUAAUUUAAUCUUUCUUGUGUAACUAAAUACGCUAUUACUAUAUACGUUAUCACAACGAUAUAUGUUAUUAAUUGAGCUUUUCAAAUGCUACAGAAUAAUCGAGAAAGCACAAUUACUUUGAUAUUUGCUAAAUACAUUAUUAAAAAAAAUAAAUAAAUAAGAAAAUUAUGGUUGAGUCUCGUGAUAAUCAAAGAAUAAUUAUGCAUUAGACUCGUUAAAGAGCUAUGAAUUUAUUUUUAAUCUUUAAUUAUAUUAUUAUAAAUUUUCUAAUAAUUAUAACAAUAAUGUUUUGAAUAAUACAUAUUACAUUCUUUAAGUCAUUAAAAAAAGGAACAAUUUACUCUAUUAAUUGCGGCUUCUUAUUUUCUUUCUUGCACGAUAAUUUUGUAACAGUGACGCAGAAAUUUUUCCAUCACCUAUGUCUAUCAGGAGCAUGUUCGGAUGCGCUAAAAAACCGCGCAAUAUAGUUGCUCCGGGAAAAUAGCUUUCAUUCGUGGCAGAAUAAUUGAGGUCACCGCACCACUUCGAUGAACGUGGAAAUCGGCCAAAAUCCCGAAAAUCGAAUUUUCCGCCUUCGCUCCAAUUUCAGUUGGCUUUUAAUAAGUCAACAGACAAGCUCGCUCGAUAUUCAGCCCAACGUACGGUACCAUGGCAUAGGCCAAUACCGAAUGGUCGUUCUCUCCCUCGACGAAGGCGCGCAGUUCGCGUUUCGUUCCAACGCGUCACGUGCACGCCGUCACCGCGAACCACUUCAAAUCUGACACCGCAUCGGCGCACGUACGCAGCCGGUUUAAGCGGGCAUGUUUGCACUGCCAGUGUUCCGCUAACGAACCUAUCUAACCACCCCGAACCCACCUCGCGAACCCUUAGCGACCCGGCUGAUUCCUCGUCGUCGCUGUAUUCAACUGCCAUGUUUCGCUCACCGCUUCGCAUAUUCGCUUUAAUGACAUAAGUCGAAACGCCGCGAAACUUUUGACGCGCCGAAAUCGUUUUUCUAAUUCGCAGUCGCAGCACGUUGCGCCUCAAUUUCGGAGAAAAUUUAUUUCUUCUAUUUGCAUACGCAAACAGUUAUCUUUUUUUUUCCUCAA
rnacentral:misc_RNA from 1 species